rnacentral:rRNA from 1 species
GUGCCUUAUGCAUGCAAGUCGGCGGUCUUUUNCAAUUAAGAUAGUGGCCAACGGGUGAGUAACGCGUAAGUAACCUACCUCUAAGUGGGGGAUAGCUUCGGGAAACUGAAGGUAAUACCGCAUGUGAUGGGCUGACAUAAGUCGGUUCAUUAAAGCCGCAAGGUGCUUGGUGAGGGGCUUGCGUCCGAUUAGCUAGUUGGUGGGGUAAUGGCCUACCAAGGCUUCGAUCGGUAGCUGGUCUGAGAGGAUGAUCAGCCACACUGGGACUGAGACACGGCCCAGACUCCUACGGGAGGCAGCAGCAAGGAAUCUUGGGCAAUGGGCGAAAGCCUGACCCAGCAACGCCGCGUGAGGGAUGAAGGCUUUCGGGUUGUAAACCUCUUUUCACAGGGAAGAAUAAUGACGGUACCUGUGGAAUAAGCUUCGGCUAACUACGUGCCAGCAGCCGCGGUAAUACGUAGGAAGCAAGCGUUAUCCGGAUUUAUUGGGCGUAAAGUGAGCGUAGGUGGUCUUUCAAGUUGGAUGUGAAAAUUUCCGGCUUAACCGGGACGUGUCAUUCAAUACUUGUUGGACUAGAGUACACA